rnacentral:rRNA from 1 species
GGGAGACCACUCUCCAAGGCUAAAUACUCUCUGGCAACCGAUAGUGAACCAGUACCGCGAGGGAAAGGCGAAAAGAACCCCGAGAGGGGAGUGAAAUAGAACCUGAAACCGUACAUCUACAAGCUAUUGUAGCACUAUGCCCGCAAGGGAAUGUGCGACAGUGUGCCUGUUGAAGAAUGAUCCAGCGAGUUAAUGUGCCGAGCAAGGUUAAGGGCUGACAAAGUCCGCAGCCGUAGUGAAAGCGAGCCCGAAUAGGGCGAUUAGUUCGUCAUAUUAGACCCGAAGCCAAGUGAUCUAACCCUGUCCAGGCUGAAGUUCGCGUAACAGUGAAUGGAGGGCCGGAGUGUUAAACGUUGAAAAGUUUCUACAUGAGGUGGGGUUAGGGGUGAAAGGCCAAUCGAACUUGGUGAUAGCUGGUUCUCCCCGAAAUAGCUUUAGGGCUAGCGUUGAAAUUUAACCCGAGGGGGUAAAGCACUGGUAGAUUUAGGGGGAGCGACCCUCCUUCCGAUGUCUGUCAAACUCUGAAUACCUCGGCGUAUAUUUCAGCAGUCAGUUCGUGAGGGAUAAGCUUCACGUGCGAGAGGGAAACAGCCCAGACCGUCAAUUUAGGUCCCAAAAUGUAUGCUAAGUGGUAAAGGAUGUGGAUUUACUUAAACAGCUAGGAGGUUGGCUUAGAAGCAGCCAUCCUUUGAAGAGUGCGUAAUAGCUCACUAGUCGAGUGAAUCUGCGCCGAAGAUGACUCGGGGCUAAGCAUACUACCGAAAUUACGGAUUGCAUAGAGGUUCGCCUUUAUGUAGUGGUAGGGGAGCGUUCUUGGCAGCUGCGAAGGUAUACCGUAAGGAGUGCUGGAGCGCCAAGAAGUGAGAAUGCUGGAAUGAGUAGCGACAAGGAAGGUGAGAAUCCUUCCCGCCGAAAAUCUAAGGUUUCCUUGAGCAACGUUCGUCGGCUCAGGGUCAGUCGGGCCUAAGCUCAGGCCGAAAGGCGUAGGCGAAGGACAUCCGGUUAAUAUUCCGGAACUAUGAUAAGCGCGUCAUAACCUAGGGAGGGACGCAGGAGAGUAACCCCGUUGGCUAUAUGUCAAUGAAAGGUCGUAGACAUCUUCGGAUAGGCAAAUCCGUCCGGAGGCUAAGUCGAAAGCCGAGACGAGUGAUCGCAAGAUUACAAAGGGGGCCAAUCACGCUGCCUAGAAAAACUUCGUAGGGAGUUCUUAUCAUAACCGUACCGUAAACCGACACAGGUGGAUGGGGUGAAAAUCCUAAGGCGCGCGAGAUAACCAUCGUCAAGGAACUAGGCAAACUAGCUCCGUAACUUCGGAAGAAGGAGUGCCCAAGUACUGGUGUAGCAAUACAUUGGGAAAGGGUCGCAGUGAAUUGGGCUUCGUGACUGUUUAACAAAAACUUAGGGCUCUGCUGAAAUCUCAAGAUGAUGUAUAGGGCCUGAUGCCUGCCCGGUGCCGGAAGGUCAAGGGGAGUGGUUAGCCGCAAGGCGAAGCUGCGAACUUAAGCCCCGGUAAACGGCGGCGGUAACUAUAACCGUCCUAAGGUAGCGAAAUUCCUUGUCGGGUAAGUUCCGACCUGCACGAAUGGCAUAACAAAGAAGCCGCUGUCUCGACGGUGGGCUCGGCGAAAUUGUGGUUCAAGUGAAGACGCUUGAUGCAUGCAACAAGACGAAAAGACCCUAUGGAGCUUUACUGUAGCUUGUUAUUGACUUACGGUUUACAAUACGUAGUAUAGCUGGGAGUCUUUGAAACAUCCUUUGAGGAGGGUGCGGAGACAACAGUGAAAUACCAGCUUUUGUGGAUUGUGAUUCUAACCUAUUACCCGUGAAUCCGGGUUGGGGACAGUGGCAGGUGGGCAGUUUGACUGGGGCGGUCGCCUCCUAAAGAGUAACGGAGGCGUUCUAAGGUUCCUUCAGGCCGUAUAGAAAUCGGCCAUUGAGCGCAAAGGUAGAAAGGAGCUUGACUGUGAGGACGACGGUCCGAACAGGUGCGAAAGCAGGACUUAGUGAUCCGGUGGUCCCUCGUGGGAGGGCCAUCGCUCAACGGACAAAAGCUACCCUGGGGAUAACAGGCUGAUCGGGCCCAAGAGUUCACAUCGACGGCUCGGUUUGGCACCUCGAUGUCGGCUCAUCACAUCCUCCCGCUGAAGCAGGUGGGAAGGGUUGGGCUGUUCGCCCAUUAAAGUGGUACGUGAGCUGGGUUCAGUACGUCGUGAGACAGUACGGUCUCUAUCUGUUGUAUGCGCAGGAAACUUGAGAGGAGUUGUCCAUAGUACGAGAGGGCCUGGAUGAACGAACCUCCUGUAUAUCAGUUGUCUGUAAACAGGCAUAGCUGAUUAGCGGUGUUCGGUAGGGAUAAACGCUGAAAGCAUAUAAGCGUGAAACCCGCCUCAAGAUAAGGUUUCCCUGGUAGAUUAACUACCCAGAAGACCC